AUUGAACGCUGGCGGAAUGCUUUACACAUGCAAGUCGAACGGCAGCACGGGGGCAACCCUGGUGGCGAGUGGCGAACGGGUGAGUAAUACAUCGGAACGUGCCCAGUCGUGGGGGAUAACGUAGCGAAAGCUACGCUACUACCGCAUACGAACUCUGGUUGAAAGCGGGGGAUCGCAAGACCUCGCGCGAUUGGAGCGGCCGAUGGCAGAUUAGGUAGUUGGUGGGGUAAAGGCCUACCAAGACGACGAUCUGUAGCGGGUCUGAGAGGAUGAUCCGCCACACUGGAACUGAAACACGAGCCAGACUCCGACGGGAGGCAGCAGUGGGGAAUUUUGGACAAUGGGGGCAACCCUGAUCCAGCCAUGCCGCGUGAGUGAAGAAGGCCUUCGGGUUGUAAAGCUCUUUCGGCCGGGAAGAAAUCGCGCCAGUUAAUACCUGGUGUGGAUGACGGUACCGGAAUAAGAAGCACCGGCUAACUACGUGCCAGCAGCCGCGGUAACAC
rnacentral:rRNA from 1 species